UCGAGGGGUAACAGAGGUAGCUUGCUACUUGCUGACGACCGGCGCACGGGUGCGUAACGCGUAUAGAAUCUACCUUGUACUAGGGGAUAGCCUUUGGAAACGAAGAUUAAUACCCCAUAGUAAGUAUUUACGGCAUCAUUUAUACUUUAAAGGUUACGGUACAAGAUGACUAUGCGUCCUAUUAGUUUGUUGGUGAGGUAACGGCUCACCAAGACUUCGAUAGGUAGGGGCCCUGAGAGGGGGAUCCCCCACACUGGUACUGAGACACGGACCAGACUCCUACGGGAGGCAGCAGUGAGGAAUAUUGGACAAUGGAGGCAACUCUGAUCCAGCCAUGCCGCGUGCAGGAUGACGGCCCUAUGGGUUGUAAACUGCUUUUAUGUAGGAAGAAACACUCUCACGUGUGAGAGCUUGACGGUACUACAAGAAUAAGGACCGGCUAACUCCGUGCCAGCAGCCGCGGUAAUACGGAGGGUCCAAGCGUUAUCCGGAAUCAUUGGGUUUAAAGGGUCCGUAGGCGGGCUAUUGAGUCAGAGGUGAAAGUUUGCAGCUCAACUGUAAAGUUGCCUUUAAAACUGGUAGUCUUGAAUUAUUAUGAAGUGGUUAGAAUAAGUAGUGUAGCGGUGAAAUGCAUAGAUAUUACUUAGAAUACCUAUUGCGAAGGCAGAUCACUAAUAAUAUAUUGACGCUGAGGGACGAAAGCGUG
rnacentral:rRNA from 1 species